CUUCCUCCUCGUGCUGGCGCGAGAAUUAGAUAUGCUUGUACAAAUGACUGCAGAAACAGACACGCAUGGCAAUCAUGUGGAAGAGGAUGCACUUGUACACCUCACAACACGUACGGAAUUGUUUUAAUAUGUUUGGCUAGACGCUCGCAGAUGCCAUACGAUUUUGGUAGUCGUCGGGGAUGAUUGAAGAUGGACUAAUGCUCUCAACAUCAUUGCGCAAUAUGUAACCACUGGAGCUUCUACACUGACAUAUAAAACAAUAUAAAGAUGCAA